rnacentral:tRNA from 1 species
GCGCCGCCGCGGUCGGGUUGAACGACGGCAUUUCGUGGCAGGAAAUUCUGGAAGGGCUUUCGCACGGACAUACCCAGUUGCGCCUGGUGGCGGCGCGC